AUUUUUACUUUUUCAUUAAUAUUAAGGUAUUAUUGACUAAAACAAGCUCCUAUAUACUGCUGAAAGGUUACUUGCAAGCUCAUUUUGUCUCAUUUCAAGUGUAUUAACAUAUUUGCACGGGAAACUAGACCAAAAACACACAAAAAACAUUUUACAUUUUCAGUAUCAUACGAUUCAAACUAAUUAAAAAAACGUUUCCCCUCCUCACCUUUGGUGGCGCUGCAGUAAGAACUACUGAAGGAGCGACAUAAAAACCUCAGAAGAAGAGACUGAGCACAACUUCCUUCCCAAAAUGUAAAUAAAAACGGAGUGGCCUCAGAGUUUAGCGGCUUUAGGGUUCCUCUUUAUUUUUAUUUUUAUUUUUUUAUUUUAUUUUAUUUUAUUUUUUUUGCAAAAGACCGCAAGCCAUUUCUCCCAUUAGCGUUAGACUCUCGCGUCUGUGUUGGUUGUCUUUACCCAGAAUGCCCUGCGUUGUAGUUUGCUUCCUGUUUUUGGAGUGUUCUCCAUCAGCUCGCAUCCACGUGGAGUUAUUAUGGUAUGUUCCAGUUGUACACGGAACUGGGAAAUUACGACUUCUUAGUUAGAAAAAUCAACUAUAAUGCCUAACCGACUCGGAUUUCCGCUGGGAAACUGGGAGCGACUCCAACUACCACCAAUUACAACUUGCCAGGCGGGCUUCACGUUUCGAUACGACGCUCCUCACAUCAAGAGCAGCAACAUGUGGUGGAAACACGUUUCUUUCACAAGACAUGCAAAAAGUACGGCGUGGUACUUCUUCAAACAGAAAUCUGAGAGCUGAACAUCCAGGUCUCGGUUUGGUUAAAUGAACUCUGUUGCUGGUUCAAAUGGAUAUGUGGAUGGAUGAAGACCAGAGAAAGCUCCAAAAGCAGGAAGUGGACUACAGCGCAGGGCAUUCUGGGUUUUUGCUGCAGCGUCACCACAGGCGAGGAGGGGAACAGACGUUUCAGCGUGGAGGCAAAACAAAGCAUCUGAACAUGUAAAACAUGUAAUAAAUGUUGCAGUCUUUAUCACCAAUCAACAGACAAUCAGGUGUGAAAGCACUCAGUCAGCUGGAAAUUUUAACCCUAUUUUCAGUCAGAACUUGUGUCCUACCAGCGCCCCUGCUCAGUGUGUGUUUUCCUUUUUUCUUCAUUUGCUAAAAUAAAGAUAUUCACGCAUGAAGGGCUUUUCUAUGUGUGCGUGUCCAGGGAGGCUAGCUCAUGAUGGUAACAGCUCAGCAGGCAUCAAUCACACUCAGCCUGCUGGCUGGCCGGCUCGCCGCGCCUCUGGGCUCAAGCUGCAGCAAUGCUGCUGACAACAGGUUACAAACCAGCACUCCACUGAUGUCGACUGACACCGACCUCCAUGCAAGGGGAUUUUAUUUUUUUCUUGUCUCUGGGUGCAGGUAGAAGCUUAAAAAAAAAAAAGAAAAUCCAUUAUGAUGCAGUGCUUAUUUUCAGGGUUUUGCUUCACUGAGCCUGCAGCCCGGUUCCCUUUUCUGCCUCCUUUAAUCAUCAAAGCGUUUCCGAUUAAUUUCCAGAUCAAAGUGAGGAUGCUGUGUCCCCGAGGUCAGCUGGUAACUAACGCGACAAAGCCAGAUUCCCCUCCACACUCCCUAUUAAUCAGCCACGAUGGGGGUGAGGGGAGGAACGCUAAAGGAGGGUCCAACGUUAAUGAUCUUUAUUUGCUCCACAUUCAAACACACAGAGAGA